CAAGUCGUACGGACAAUUUAUUUCGGUAAAUUCUUAGUGGCGAACGGGUGAGUAACACGUGGGCAACCUGCCUCGUGGUUGGGGACAACAUUCCGAAAGGAGUGCUAAUACCGAAUACGCUCCAUUACCGGCAUCGGUUUUGGAGGAAAGAUGGCCUCUAUUUAUAAGCUAUCACCAUGAGAUGGGCCUGCGUCUGAUUAGCUAGUUGGUGAAGUAACGGCCCACCAAGGCGAUGAUCAGUAGCCGGUCUGAGAGGAUGAACGGCCACAUUGGGACUGAGACACGGCCCAAACUCCUACGGGAGGCAGCAGUGGGGAAUCUUCCGCAAUGGGCGAAAGCCUGACGGAGCAACGCCGCGUGAGUGAUGAAGGCCUUCGGGCUGUAAAACUCUGUUGUCAGGGACGAAGGUGCACCUUUCGAACAGAUGGGUGUAUUGACGGUACCUGACGAGGAAGCCACGGCUAACUACGUG
rnacentral:rRNA from 1 species